CACACCUGACAGUGAGGGGUGACACAGCUCUUCCUGUAAGGGAAAACAUCUCUUCUUCCGUGAGGGGAGAGCGCCCGGCCCCGAGAGCGGGAAAGCGUUCCUGCCGUGAGGGGAGACAGCCCAGCCCCAAGGGCGGGAAACGCCUCAUGAUCCCGAGGGCGGGAAAACGUUCCAGCUGUGAGGGACGUGGACCCGCAUCCCUGAGGGGCGGUCCUACAGAUCCCCCACAAGGUGUCAUUCCGUUCUCUAUUUCAGGUUAGAAAUAUGUUCAGAGACUAGUGUCCGAACGGCACCUCUCCAGGACUAGUGCUGCCACAUACACACCUGGAGUCUCCAACAUCUGUGGCACAGAGCCUGUCAAGCCUCCUACUAAUACCAGUCCAGAUGCUGAUGGCUCUAUCUUUCCCAGGCAAAGGAGGCUGGAAUCUCCAAGGACAACCAUUUUUCCAGCAAUGCCUUUGGACAUUGCAAAUUUUUCAUCUUGACAAGGAAUAGACAUAACAGAGAACUGCAGAUGGAGCUGCAACAGAUGCAUUUGCCACUUAAAAACAAUAAAUGAUCAGCUACCCAGGCACUUGUGGUAAGGUGUGUCACAAUCCUCUCUGGCAAACUCAGCUGCACAAGAUGCCCAAGUCCAUAAUAAGCAGUUUCUGUGUGAGUAACUGCAGGCUGCCAAGGGACUGUGCUUCCCUGAUUUCCUAGAACAGCAGAAUCCCUAGGAAUGACCUUUGCGAGUUUGCUGUCAUCACAUGCUCCUCUGGGGCUGCUUUCUGUUUGGCAAGAGAGUGAGACAGAAAAAUCCAUCUCAAUGGCUCAAGAGGAGCAGAAAAAUAACCCUAAUGUCUCUUUCCCCAAAGUUGGCUGCAUUUCUGUCAUGUCCAAGGAAUUAAUAUUUAUUUCAAAGAGC